rnacentral:rRNA from 1 species
GAUGAACGCUGGCGGCGUGCUUAACACAUGCAAGUCGAACGGAAAGGCCCAAGCUUGCUUGGGUACUCGAGUGGCGAACGGGUGAGUAACACGUGGGUGAUCUGCCCUGCACUUCGGGAUAAGCCUGGGAAACUGGGUCUAAUACCGGAUAGGACCACAUUUUGGAUGGUGUGGUGGAAAGUUUUUCGGUGUGGGGUGAGCUCGCGGCCUAUCAGCUUGUUGGUGGGGUAAUGGCCUACCAAGGCGUCGACGGGUAGCCGGCCUGGGAGGGUGUACGGCCACAUUGGGACUGAGAUACGGCCCAGACUCCUACGGGAGGCAGCAGUGGGGAAUAUUGCACAAUGGGCGCAAGCCUGAUGCAGCGACGCCGCGUGGGGGAUGACGGCCUUCGGGUUGAAAACUCCUUUCGCUAGGGACGAAGCGUUAUGUGACGGUACCUGGAGAAGAAGCACCGGCUAACUACGUG